UUUCCCUUUUAGAGCUGAGAGUGUGCUUUAAGAGGCUAACACAGAAGGGGAAAGAAAAGCUCCAUAAAACCUAGAGAAGAGACUGCCUGGAGUCACAGCU
ensembl:snoRNA